rnacentral:tRNA from 1 species
GCCUGGGUGGCUCAGUCAGUUGAGCGUCUGACUUCAGCUCAGGUCAUGAUCUUGCAGUUUGUGAGUUUGAGCCUCGCGUCGGGCU